GAAAUGGGCUGAAGAAAAACGUCAGUUGCUGGAGCCACGGAGCGGGAAAGAAGAAUAAAGCUAAAAUGAGGCAAGUGCAAGGAAGAGGAAAGGGAGACCAGCCUGAAGCAACGAAAGAGCUUGAGGGAAGGAAAGAGGAAAAAAGGAGGGGUAGAGAGCUUUGAAGGACUCACUGCAAUUUUAAAAAAGUCUAAGAAAUGCAUGAUUUGAACCUGGAACCUUCUGCAGCCUCCCCAUGCCAUGCCAUGCCAAAGCAAGUGGCGGAGUGUGUAAGGUUUGGAGUGUCAAGAACUUCUUUUUAAUAGAGUAUGGUGAAGAGUUGAGUGUAACUCGCAAGCCUGAAGAGUCUUAUACCAGCCAAACAUUGGUCGAAUGAAAGAUGAUGAAAUACACAGUUUGUAUACCACCUCUGGGACAGAUCUGACAAAUCUCUCAUUAGUUGUGAAUCUGUGAUAUACUGACAUUUCGGUAGAGUGUGCUCAUCUCUGUUGAUCUUUUUGCCUGUGGGUUUGUUUGUUUGUUUAUGCUAUUUACAGGUCAUUCUAUAACAGGUUCUUAGGGUAGGGGCUCUGCCUUUUUUAUUAUGCAAUCAUUUGUUUAAAUUCUCUCAAGCAUUAGCAGCUGGUGUAGAUAAUCUUUAACUUGUAUAACAUCACAAUCUUACCGUUCCUACAGUUUCUUAAUUGUUAAUGGCUUUGCUGGGUACGCCAAUGCAGGCGUCCAUUCCUCUGCAAAUAGCAACUUCAGGAAGGCAAUUUUCAUCAUGAUAAUGGUUGGUGUGUGUGUGCAAAUUAAACUUUCCCCAUCCAUCCCAGCUGCUACUUGCAACCCCCAAAGCUGCUAUUUAUGUUUUUUUAAAAAAUAACUUGGACAUUAAUUGUAUUCACUCAGGUAAAGUUGCAUCUAGCUUUGCCCUUUAAUUGGGCCAUUGAAAAUUAGGAUGGUUAGCCUAUAUCCGUGGGACUGACAAAACACAAUCUUAUGGGUUUGUCUUCUCUGAUCAAGAAGUAAUACAUCAGGGGAAGCAGGGUAGUAUUGUACAAAUUAACAGUUGAGACUUCACUAUUUUGUCAUCAGGGUUUUCUUCAGAAUUGACUCUCCAAAAUAUUUUAUCAACAGCUCUUCAAUCCCUGUGUAAUAUACCCCACCCAUACCGACUUUUCUGUGUUUUUAUUUAAAACAAACUGAACUCUUUCUGUUUUAUUU